ensembl:lncRNA
GCCUCAACUGGGAGAGGCAGAACGAGCAAGUCAUGCACCUGACAUUUGUUCCUCUAGACGUAACACAAGCGGCAACAUUUCUGAAAACUUUUAAAAUGAAAGAGUGAAGAUUAUAAUUAUAUAUCCACAACUGAUCAAGACCAAAGCUGUAUCCCAUUAAUAAUGCCAGACUAUCCAGAAGUUCCCCUGGGCAGUUCCAAAAAAGGCAGAAAAGCUGGUCUUGUUCUCCCUCUACCCCAGCCCAGGAUGAAUUUAAUGGGGACACGUCUAGACAGGGGCAACCCAGGGAUUCACCUGGCCAUUCUAGAUGCUGUCCUUUCCCAUCUCACUUCAAACACAAAUAAUCCAGGCCUUCUCCUAGCCAGUCCCACCUCCAGAGCAGAGAGCACAGACGUUCUACAUAUCCAUCCUGUUACUCUACCAGACAAGAUUCAUCCAGGGCUUCUACUUGCCAGUCCCAACGGAGCCAAGAGCAUCGCAGCUCUCACCCUCCCAUUCCCUCCACUAGACCAGAGUUGUUUCCCAUGAAUAAUGCCAAACUUCAGAAGUGUGUCCUAACUAAAUUGGAGAUAUUGGAGGAGGUGAAACGUGUUGGGAGAGCAGAGCCCCAAGACUCUUUGAGUUCCAUGUCAAGAGGAUGGAGAUGGAGCAAGACUUUGACCAACUAGAGAAGCAGCUCCAAGGUGUGGAUGCACAGAAUCUGAUGGUGAAAGUGAAAUUUAUUUUGUAGAUUUGUAAGCAUUUUUCACACAAGCGAUACAAAAAGUGAUGCCCGUAGAAUUUUUUUUUUAAAGUACUCAUACUGAGACAGUGGUUACUGCAUAACUUCUGGUGUUUCAAACAAAGUCUCUUGACACAGAUUGCAAGGUUAAGCAAAAUUGGUGUUAAGGACACAAAGGACUGUGCCAACAAGGUCAUGGUAUGUCAUAUCUUCAGAAUGGAUCCAAUAAGAAAGUCAUUUUAAAGGUAUUGUUAGUGAUACAAACUGUCUGCAACAAAGACAGUAAAUCCAGCCUUAUCUCCUCAGCAGUUUGAAAGUGUUCAAUUCACAAAGUACAUCCUAUGUGUGCUUGACUUUCAGGCUCUUUACCAAUGGCCUGAUGUCCUUGUUCAACUUCAAUGGCCAUCACGCAAGCGAGGAUUAGGAAACACAACUGUGUACUCUGUUGUCAACAGUACCUACAAACAUGUCAUUAUUCUGUAGUAUAUUUUGUAUUAAUAACUGGGUGGUUUGAGCCCUGAAAGCUGAUUGGCUAACGGCCAUGGUAUAUUUAAGCAAUAAUACAUGAGAGCCCAUGUGUUAUGAUGACAUUUUUAUCAUGGCUGAGUGUCAUAGCCAUAAAAGCAAAGUCCUCUGGGUUUUGUGGUACCGUAACCACACAAUACAUGGUUAACAGUCUGUAUCCAGGCACCCUGAGUUGCGUUGUGCAUAAGAAAAGCCUUUACUACACCUUCCCAUUGCUUAAAGGAUCACUAAGGUUGCGCAAUCAAAAUGACCUGCUCUGUCUGUUUUAAUAGGCUAGAUUAUUAUUUUGUCUUCUAAAACAAUUAUUCAUUUGCAUGGUGGUAAUUUGUGUAGUUGUCACGUUCUGACCUUAGUUCUUUUGUUAUUGUCUUUGUUUAGUAUGGUCAGGGCGUGAGUUGGGUGGGUUGUCUAUGUUCCUUUUUCUAUGAUUUGGGAUUUCUGUGUUUGGCCUGGUAUGGUUCUCAAUUAGAGGCAGCUGUCUAUCGUUGUCCCUGAUUGAGAACCAUACUUAGGUAGCCUGGUUUCACUUUUGAGUUAUUUUCUGUGUUAAUGUUUGUGACACACGGGACUGUUUCGUUUGUUUCACUUUGUUAUUUUGUAUUUUGUAGUGUUCAGUUUUACAUAUUAAAAUGGACACUUACCACGCUGCAAAUUGGUCCGAUCUCUCUUACUCCUCAUCAGAAGAAGAGGACGAGCGUUACAGUGGUCCCUUUUUGAGAAUAAUGGUUUUAGGAGCUUGGCAAUUUUGAAUGAGGUGAUCAUGUGACCUUAAUGGCCUUUUAACCUAUUGACGCGCAAGUUCUAAAAAUGUAUAACGGUCUGCCCAGCGUGGCAUUUCCUCAAUCAUUUUUUUUUAUUUUGCAAUGCUGUAGCCCUAAUAAAUGCUUUACCAUUUUUUUUUCUUUGAUGGAGCAGACUCUAGUAUGUCAUUAUGUUGGUUUUGUUUAGCUUUCUGGCCUGUUAUCAAUUAGGCCUUAUUAUUACUUAAUUUCAUCACACAGCCUACUAGUCCUGCAUUUAAAUGCAGUCAAGCAUUCUCUUGAAUAAUUAGCCUAGAGUUUUACAAUGGCCUAAAUAAUAAUAAUAAAGGCUUUAUAAUUUUUUCAUUAGUACAGAUCAACUCUCUGGUACACCUAUAAUUUAUUUUGUGUUGUUUACGCUGUAAACGCGCUGGUUCCAUCCUCUUUCUAUGAGCUCAAGUCAAAUGUCUUCCGUACAUCUGACAUUGCCUUUGUCUCCUGAGCAUCCAGUCAGUUAAACAUCUCCCUCAUUUCAAGUUGAAUUUUUUACUUGCGAUCUCUGCAUACUGACAAAUAUAUUAGGC